rnacentral:rRNA from 1 species
AUUGGAGUCGAUUAGCAUGCGAGUCGCGAGAAUUAGAUUCUCGGCGUACCGCUCAGUAACACGUGGGUAACCUGCCCUAUGCUGGAUAAUAACCUCGGGAAACUGAGAAUAAUGAUCCAUAUUUCACUACGCCUGGAACGGUGAGUGGAUGAAAGCUCCGGCGGCAUAGGAUGGGCCUGCGGCGUAUCAGGUUGUAGGGGGUGUAACGUACCCUCUAGCCCUCUACGCGUACGGGUGUUGGGAGACAUAGCCCGGAGAUGGAUUCUGAGACACGAAUCCAGACCCUACGGGGUGCAGCAGGCGCGAAAACUUGGCAAUGCGAGAAAUCGUGACCAGGGAACUCCAAGUGCAUCGGGUAAGACCGGUGCUUUUCUUGACUCUAAAUAGGUCUUGGAAUAAGGGGUGGGUAAGGACGGUGCCAGCCGCCGCGGUAAUACCGGCGCCUCAAGUGGUAGUCGCUUUUAUUGGGCCUAAAACGUCCGUAGCCGGUCUUAUACAUUCGUGGGUAAAUCAACCAGCUCAACUGGUUGAAUUCUGCGAGGACGGUCAGACUUGGGACCGGGAGAGGUGUGGGGUACGCUCAGGGUAGGGGUAAAAUCCUGUCAUCCUGAGCGGACCACCUGUUGCGAAGGCGCCACACUAGAACGGAUCCGACGGUCAGGGACGAAGCCUAGGGGCACGAACCGGAUUAGAUACCCGGGUAGUCCUAGGUGUAAACGCUGUGGACUUGAUGUUGGGGGUGCUCCUAGCACUCUCAGUGUCGAAGCGAAGGUGAUAAGUCCACUGCCUGGGAAGUACGGUCGCAAGGCUGAAACUCCAAGGAAUUGACGG